CCCCUAGACGUUCUGGGCUGCACGCGCGCUACAAUAAUACGCACAGCGAGUAUCACCGAGCUCGAAAGGGCAAGGUAAACAAUAGAAAAGGUACUGUAAUGGUUAUAGAUCCUUGUAAUUAUUGAUCUUCAACGAGGAAUUCCUAGUAAGUAUGUGUCAUCAUCACGCACUGAUUACGUCCCUGCCCUUUGUACACACCGCCCGUCGCUCCUACCGAUUGAGCAUCCCGGUGAAGACUCAGGAGAUAUGUACGUGGCUGGUCUCCAGCUGCGUUGCGUGCCGAAUUUGUCUAAACCUUGAUGCUUAGAGGAAGGAGAAGUCGUAACA
rnacentral:rRNA from 1 species